UAGCUUAUCAGACUGAUGUCG
rnacentral:miRNA from 1 species